rnacentral:rRNA from 1 species
CUUGCUUCUCUUGAGAGCGGCGGACGGGUGAGUAAUGCCUAGGAAUCUGCCUGGUAGUGGGGGAUAACGUCCGGAAACGGACGCUAAUACCGCAUACGUCCUACGGGAGAAAGCAGGGGACCUUCGGGCCUUGCGCUAUCAGAUGAGCCUAGGUCGGAUUAGCUAGUUGGUGGGGUAAUGGCUCACCAAGGCGACGAUCCGUAACUGGUCUGAGAGGAUGAUCAGUCACACUGGAACUGAGACACGGUCCAGACUCCUACGGGAGGCAGCAGUGGGGAAUAUUGGACAAUGGGCGAAAGCCUGAUCCAGCCAUGCCGCGUGUGUGAAGAAGGUCUUCGGAUUGUAAAGCACUUUAAGUUGGGAGGAAGGGCAGUAAAUUAAUACUUUGCUGUUUUGACGUUACCGACAGAAUAAGCACCGGCUAACUCUGUGCCAGCAGCCGCGGUAAUACAGAGGGUGCAAGCGUUAAUCGGAAUUACUGGGCGUAAAGCGCGCGUAGGUGGUUCGUUAAGUUGGAUGUGAAAUCCCCGGGCUCAACCUGGGAACUGCAUUCAAAACUGACGAGCUAGAGUAUGGUAGAGGGUGGUGGAAUUUCCUGUGUAGCGGUGAAAUGCGUAGAUAUAGGAAGGAACACCAGUGGCGAAGGCGACCACCUGGACUGAUACUGACACUGAGUGCGAAAGCGUGGGGAGCAAACAGGAUUAGAUACCCUGGUAGUCCACGCCGUAAACGAUGUCAACUAGCCGUUGGGAGCCUUGAGCUCUUAGUGGCGCAGCUAACGCAUUAAGUUGA